AGAGUUUGAUCCUGGCUCAGGACGAACGCUGGCGGCGUGCCUAACACAUGCAAGUCGAACGGAGAAUUUCGAAGAGUUUACUUAGAGAAAUUUUUAGUGGCGGACGGGUGAGUAACGCGUGGGUAACCUACCCAUAAACCCGGGACAACCCUUGGAAACGAGGGCUAAUACCGGGUAAUCUUAAAUCUUGGCAUCAAGAAUUAAGGAAAGGUGGCCUCUGAAUAUGCUACCGAUUAUGGAUGGACCCGCGUCUGAUUAGCUAGUUGGUGGGGUAAAGGCCUACCAAGGCGACGAUCAGUAGCCGGCCUGAGAGGGUGAACGGCCACACUGGGACUGAGACACGGCCCAGACUCCUACGGGAGGCAGCAGUGGGGAAUCUUCCGCAAUGGACGAAAGUCUGACGGAGCAACGCCGCGUGUAUGAUGAAGGUCUUCGGAUUGUAAAGUACUGUCUUUGGGGAAGAAUGACUGUUUUGAAAAUAUUGAGUCAGUAUGACGGUACCCAAGGAGGAAGCCCCGGCUAACUACGUGCCAGCCGCCGCGGUAAUAC
rnacentral:rRNA from 1 species